CUGUUUACUGGGUAGAAUUUAUUUUGUUUGUAAUUAUAAAAAUGGACACAGCAGGAACUGGCGCAGAAAUUGAACUUUUGGAGCGGGUGCUGCUGAGGCUGGGCAAUGCAGACAGCGAUGAAAAAUUGGAGGCUACUGUUGGAAAGUUUUUGACGCCUGUAAUACUCAAAAUCAACUCGCCUCACAAUGUAGUGCGAACUAAGGUGGUGGAAGUUUUGACACAUAUAAAGCGACGUCUGACUUCUCGUGGCCAGGUGCAGAUACCGGUGGAGGCGCUGCUGGACCAAUAUGCAGCGCCAGACAGUACUACAUUUCUUAAAAAUUUUGCCAUUAUUUUCAUUAGCAUGGGCUUUUCCCGUUUGCCCCUGGAGCAGCAGACAGCGCUGGCUUCCAAAAUUGUAGGCUGUGAGAGCAAACUGGAGAAUUAUCAGGAUAAGCUAUUUACACUCCUACUGCCCAUUCUAAGCGAAAUGAAAAUACCGGACGAUCCGGCACAGCGAGCUUCCUUGCUUAAGCUGCAGGACAAGCCAGCAGUGAGCGCUAAUUUCCUAACACUGCUGCAGGAUGUGUUGCUGUUGCCCUAUGGCGUUACACAGGAACAGGAUAUACCGCCUGGUCUAAGUCCUUAUAGCUUCAAACGUGUGAUGGCCAACAAUUGGCGCGCCGAAGAGCUGGAAAAGGUCAAAAAGGGCAUAGUGCGUUUUCUCUGUGCCAGCGUUUUCAAAGACAACGAAAUAUUUGUGCUGCUGGUCGUCGCAUCAGCGGAUACACGUUUCAGCGUUGCCACGCCUGCCAUUGCCGAGCUAAGCAAGCUCUGCACCAUGCUGGACUUCAAUAGUGCCGCACUAACUAUGCCACUUUACACGCUCUUCAUUGGUAACCAGCAUAAGGAUCCGGAGCGUCAGUCUCGUGCCUGCUGUGCUCGCGUGCGUCAGAAGCUUAUACAGUAUUUGAUUAGAUGUCGCACUAAGGCGCUCAAUGUGGGCAAAGGACUGCAGGUCAUCUUUGACGGACUCUUUGGUACCAAUACCAAUCAGAAAUGUAAGGUGCUGGCGCUGAAUUUUGUGGAGUUGAUGUUAAGAGAUGGUCCACAUGAUCUGGUGGCCAAGGUGUCGAAGGUGAUACUCACUGGUAUUACCAAAGUAAUUGGCCGUGACACUGCGGAGCCCAAUGAUGUGCAGAAUGCCGCCUAUUCGGCGCUGGCGCAGCAUGCACGCAGCUUUCCGCAAGAUGUUAGCCAGGAUCUUAAGCUAGUGCUGGGCUAUUUCAAUAAUCUGGCCAAUUGUACGCCUGAUUUACAUGGCUCCAUACGUGAGGCACUAGUUUCCAUGGCACCUGCAUUUGCUUGGAACACAAAAACCAAAUCGGAUGCUAUGGAUGUGGAUAAUACUAGCAAUUCUGUAGAAGUGCAGCUGGAUGGAUCACAGCACUUGCUGCUGGCCAUGCUAUUGGACAAUGCCGAGUCCAAAGUACAAAUUGUGCAGAAUGUAACAAGUGUAUUUCUUACCAGUUGCUAUCCGGAAUAUUAUGCGCCUGCGCGUUAUUUAUUGCUGCUCAUUGCAGGCGAACGUAACUCCCUGCGUGAAAAUGUCACUAGCUAUUUGUAUGGCACUUCGAAAAAGGAUCAUGUCAACUAUAGCAUGCUUAGAUCUGUGGAGCAGACAGGCCAGCACUCGGCAAGUGAAUCCAUUAGCGAUUUCAAUCAUCUAUCGAUGGAGCAACGACGCGUUGUGCUGCCCAGCUUUCAGGUGAUGAUGUCACAUGUCCAUGAAAUGUGUGAGAAGCGCUUAAAGAAGAGCAACACCUGUGUGGUAGUGGGACGCACCAAGUUGCCAUUCAGCUUGGAGACCUAUGAAGAAAUGCUAGACUAUCUGCGCCUGUGUCUAUGGUACUCGGCGCGCGUUGUGGCAGCACCUGGCGAUGAGAAGCAUACGCAUCAGCUGCGCGAAUUUAUAAACCUCAACUACGACGAGGACGAGUCCAAUGCGUUGCAUCAGUAUAUGAUGUUUGUGCAGCGUGCCGUUCAGGCCAAACGAACUGAGUCCGCUUUGCUCUGCCUCUAUGAUCUGCUAAAUGCGGCGCCAGAGCUAUUUGCACCCAAGCAGCUGCAGCUGCUGGAACCGCUGGGCAACUCGCUGAAAGAUGUGUCCGAAACCAUGCGCAUACAUGUGGCCCAAGUCUAUGGCAUACUCUGGGCUUAUGGUCUAUCGGAUGACAAGUUUGAUGAGGAACUGGGCGACUGCCUAACCAGUCUAAUGCAAAAGACGCUGGAGCACAAACAUGGCUGGCUGCUGGUGCUGGGUCACAGUCUCAAUCGCAAGAUAGAGCAGCUGAGAGAACGUAAACAGCUCAAGGAUUAUGCACAGUGGCCGCAGUUUGUCAACGCGGUUAAAAUUAUAUCCAAAAUGUUGUGCGAAUCACAGUGGCUGCUGGUCUCUGCCGCUGUCAAGUGCACCUCUAUGGUAGGCAAGGUGGUGGAGAUACCCAAUGUACAGGUGGAGAUACAAGUGCCUAAAGGCACUGCCAAUGACGACGAUGAUGAGCAGCUGGCGGAGGUAACGAGCUUUGAGGCUUCCACCAAAAUGAUCAUCUUUGGCGUGGUAUUUCAAUUGCUGCGUAGCACUUCGGCGCGUCAAAAGAUACGCGAGGAGGCAGCCAGAUGCUUGGGUUAUCUGGCCAUAGGCGAUGGCGCGCACUUUACCAAACGCAAUCUGGACAAGUUUCUAACGCUCGCCAAGGUGCAAAAGGAUGCCGCCUUGAAUAUAGCCAUCUCCGAGGCCAUUGUUAUAACAUUGUGUGGUUACGAUGUCAACAAGGGUGCACCCAAUGCAAACUUUCAGAACGUGCACUGCAAUGAUGCGGACUUUGAGCAGUUUCUAAAUGCGCUUAUACGUCUGGUGACCGAACCCAAUCCGCAAUCACGUCAGGCCAUCUCAGUGUGGCUGCUGGCGGUGAUUAAGCACUGCAGCGAUCGUCCAGCGGUGCUCAAUAAGAAGCAGCUGCUGCAGUUUGCUUUUACGGAGCUGCUCUCAGACGAUAGUGAAUUUGUGCAGGAUGUGGCAUCGCGUGGUCUGGGCUUGGUCUAUGCGCUGUCGGAUGCCAACAGCCAAACGGAUUUGGCGAACUCGUUGCUGGAUCAGCUUAUUGGCGGAAAGCGACAGGUGAAUCAAGUCAAUGCCGACACCGAGCUCUUUGCUGAAGGCAUGCUGGGCAAAACGCCCACAGGUGGCAACAUUACCACCUACAAGGAGUUGUGCUCAUUGGCUUCGGAUCUCAAUCAGCCCGAUAUGAUCUAUCAGUUUAUGCAGCUGGCCAAUCAUAAUGCCACCUGGACCAGCAAGCUUGGCGCUGCGUUUGGCUUGAAAACGCUCUCUGCCGAAUCGCGCUUAAAGAUGCAGCCAUAUCUGGGCAAGAUUAUACCGCGUUUGUAUCGCUAUAAAUACGAUCCGACGCCCAAGAUACAAAACUCUAUGAUUUCCAUAUGGGAUACUAUUGUGACCGAUUCCAAGGAGGUGACUGAGCAGUAUUACUGGGAAAUCCUGCGUGAGCUGUUGGACAAUCUCACCUGCACGGAGUGGCGUGUGCGCAUUGCUUGCUGCCUGGCUGUCAGGGAUUUGCUCAAGCGUCCCAAUGGCUUACGCCUGCGCAGCGAGGAGGCGCCUUUGGCUGCACUUGCCAGUCCAAGGCGUGUAACACCCGAAGCCAUGGAGGUGGAUGAGCUGCCGGAGCCAGAGCUGCGCGAGAUGUGGUACCAACUAUUCCGUGUUAUGGACGAUAUACAUGAGGGCACGCGUCUAACUGCACAUGGCACUGCCUCAUUUCUGGGCAAGCUUUGCGUCUUGGCCGCGUCCUCCGAACAUGGCAAGUCGGGCUCAGCAGUGGCCACUUCUAUACUGCCCUUCUUGCUGGAGACGGGUGUGGGUCAUAAGGUUCCAGACAUACGCAAGGUAAGCAUCAAGACCAUCUCGGACAUGAUUGACUCCUCAGGUGCGCUCAUAGCGCCACAUCUGGCCACAUUGAUACCCUGCUUGCUGCGUGCCACCGGCGAACUGGAGAACACUAAGUUGUCCUAUGUGUCCACCAGACUGGGUGCGGACAACGAGGCACAGGAGGCAGUCGAUAGCCUGCGUGCCGAGGCAGCCAAGUCGCAUCACACCAUGGAGACAAUUAACAAAUGCGUGCGGUUUAUCGACUACCAAGUGCUGGAACGCAUGACGCCCGAGCUGCUGGAGCUAAUGAAGACCAGCGUCAAUCUGGGCACCAAAAUUGGCUGCGCGCAUUUUGUUUGUCUGGUAAGCAUACGCCUGGGCAAGGAGAUGACACCUUUGGUGGGCAAAUAUUUGGGCGCCAGCUUUGGCGGCAUCAAGGAUCGCAAUGUAACCGUGCGCAAAUACAACGCUAGUGCCAUUGGCCAUCUGCUGGGCCUGGCCAAGGAGCAGUCUAUAAAGAAUCUAUUCAACAAGCUGGAUGAACUGUAUAUGGAGCAGCCCAACAAUCGCUCCAUAGCGUUGACCAUACAGUCGAUUAACAAGCGUCAUCACGAGCUGCUCAAGGACUACAUGGACUGCCUGCUGCCGUUGAUCUUCUUUGCCAUGCACGAGGAGCAGACCGAGGAGAACAAGGCCAACAUAGAGCUCUGGCGCGAUCUGUGGAGCGACAUCAGCCCCGGCGAUGCGGGCAUACGUCUCAACUUGCAUGUCAUUAUACCAAAACUGGAGUCCGCACUGACCGAUGCCAGCUGGUUGCGCAAAGCGCAGGCCGCCAAUGUUAUACAAAAUGUGGCCACGCGUCUGAGCAGCAACUUGGGUGAGGCGGAGCGCGUGCGUUUGAUUAGGCUGCUGCUGGGCGGACUGCAGGGACGCACCUUUGAGGGCAAGGAGCGCUUGCUGCAGGCCCUGGCAGCACUCUGCAAGAAUCUCGAUCGUCAGCAUGAGAUUUGCACGCACAUUAUUGAGGCGGCGCUGCGUGAGGCACGCAAGCGUGAGCCGCUGUAUCGCACGCUGGCGCUGCAGGCGCUGGGCGAUAUACUGGAUGUGCUGGAGGCGGAUCGCUUUGAGGAGGUGUACAACAUGAUUUGGUCGCUGCUGGAGAAGAAGGAGCUGCGCAACGCUGACUCGGAUGACGAUGAUCAGCCCAGCAGCAGCAAUGCCAGCAAGGAUCUCACCGCCGACGAGCGUAACAAGCGCGCCCAAACGCUCAACAAGCUCAAGGAAGUGGUCUGGGAAACGCUGGGCAAGUCCUGGCCCAAGCAUGCUAUUGAUACCCAGCACAGAUAUCAACUCUUCUUUGCCGAGAACUGCACCAGCAUACUCAACGAGAGCACGCGACCUGUACAGGUCAGCCUCAUGGCAGCGCUCAUCAAGUAUAUCGAACGCUUGUACAUCUUUGAUGAGAACGCGCAGCUGCCGACGGUGCCGCUGCAGCAGUUUAACCAGGAAAAGAAACUCAAAACGGAGUCGCUAACGCUGCAAACACGCGAAGCCAUUGUGCACAAGAUCUGCAGCGAUGUCCUGGCCGCUGUUACGCUGGCCGCCGGCGUGCCACACACUGGCCUGAAAAAGGAGGCGCUCAACAUUGUUUUGAUGUUAAUCAAACGCUUGAGCGUUACCAGAGAUCGCUCCACGCUGGCGCUGCUCAAGCAGAACUUUGACAGCAAUUUAAGCAAAUUCCAACGCGACUCGGCGCCCGAAGUGCGCUGCCGCAUCAAGGACAUUGAGGAGAAGCUGGCCAAACUGGAGUCCUAAUUUAAUAUAUUGCUAAUGGAACUAUCUACUUUACAUAUACGUAUGAUUAUAACUAAGCGUGCUAAAUGCUGAAAAAAUAAAUUAAAAACAAUUAUUUAAAUGGCAAUCAACUUGACACUUAUGAUAGCAAUGGAUAAGAGUACAGAAGCGUCCGACUACGCUGAUGGCUUGUGGCUUAAAAUCUCGGAUUUACAACAACAAAAUGUCAACAGCAACAACAUCAAUUAUAAUGAUUUUGGUUAUAAAUUAUGUUGUAGUUGCAUUUUUGAUAUAAUUCUCCUUCAGGUUUAGUUUUCCACAAAAUCAUUAGUUGAAGUACCAGGCAAACAUAAAUCAAUGCCAGGUAGCUGGAAAAUGUAAAAUAAAUAAAUUCUCCAGCCCACGCACUCUGAGAGACGCCCCAAAGGUCAUAGAGCAGACAGUGCCUUUCCAACGGCGCAUGCGUUUAUGAUCAGCUCAGCAAUGGAGAGCAAUAGGAUCUCAUUAGAGAGAGGGAGACUCGUGUAUGUGGUGAGCGUGGAUUAAUUUCUUUAUUCUUUCAGUUCGCUGCUGUCUUCAAUUGGGAGCGGUCGUCGCUGCUGUCUUCGAACAACAAAUUAAUUUCCUUUUCGCUGCUUCAAUUCAAAAUGAGUACCCAUAAACGCAGAUAAAGCUCAUCCAGCGACUCCAACAUGAACGUUUUGGGAUUGAAGCGUAUCUCCGGCACCGUUUCACCG